UAGUAAAUCAAGUAUUACAUACAUUAUACAUAAACUAUUUUUGCUAAUAAUGCUACAAAUUCCAGACAUAGAAUACAUAUAUACAGAAUACUUCAGAAUUCAUAUCAAAGAAUCUUAUAUGCGGUGGGUUACAGUCAUUACUAUGCGUUUUAUAUAAGGUUUUAUCGGUUUAUAUUACAAUGCAACACUCGUCGAGUGAUCACAGACAAACUAUUAUCAGAACACAGUACAUAUUUCAAUAUGCCUUUGGGAUUCAUAAUUAUCACUGGUCUUCUCGCUUUUGGUGCUUAUUGGACUACAAAAUACUUAAUGAAUUCAGCUGAAUCAACAACAACACCAACUUUCGAUAUCUACACGACCACGGCUCUUCCAAGGCUAUAAAGAUGAUUCGUUUUAUUAUACAACUCUUAAUAUACAUUUAUAUUAAUUUUUUUCUGUAUAUAAUUGUCAUAGUAGAAUAUACAUAAGUAUUUGUUCCUAAAGGGAGUGAUUUCAGUGCAAUUUGUAAAAAUGCGCAAGGUUAUGUUUGUCGGUAACGAUUGUAAAGUUUUGUAACAAUAAACCAGCUUAUCUAAAAACGUUAUUUUGAUAAUAUUACAUACUAGCUGACUCACGACUUCGUCUCCAUUGCUUAUUUAUUAAUAAAAAUGUAUUUUACGUGCGGCAGAAAAAAAUAUUAAAAGGAUCGGAAGAAAAAUAUAUAUAUUCCUCGAAACUCACACGCCACCGAACUCGCAGUGCAUCUUGUACGAUAUCACUACAAUGGCUUCUAGAAUAUUAUUUAACUACUCUUUUAGGUGAUGUGUCAAUAU
rnacentral:misc_RNA from 1 species